UACUCUGGGGAAGAAAUGGGGGAAAAGGAGGAUUGGCUUUUGGAAGUGGGCUGGAAACUACAAAACCGAGCUUCUUGGGAGCUGCCUUUUAGUCUAACAGGAAGUGGAGCGUCACCGGGAAGGAGGGGCGGCCACCCGGGGACUGUCCCUGCUUCAGGCGCUCACUUUGCGGGCGGUGUUUUUUCCAGGUUAUCAUUCAGCGAAUGAGGCAGGGUAGAUGCACGCUGCUGGGUUUAGAAACAAACAAACAAACAAACAACAACAACAAAAAAUGAGCAAGCGAGACGCCCCUUCCGUUUUAUGAGAACCAGGCUGCAAGCAAAUAAGUCGGCUGGCCCCACUGCAAUCUUCUGCACUCGAGCACCAAGAGAUCCUGUUCCUAUCAAUUACAGAAGCCAUAAAGAAAAGUUUUAAGAAGUUAAAACUUUACCAUAAUGAGAUGGCAGAGGUCUGACAGUUUUCAUUACUAUUGCUGAGCUCUGUGAGGGCAGGAACUGGGUGCUCUUUGCAUUACCAUCCCUAGUGCCUGACAGUGCUGGACACGGGCGAUUUUGGAAUGUGAGUUUAUUGCUGAACACCACUGUUUUCUAAAAGAGAGAAGUUUCCAUAGAAUAUUCCAGAGAUCCGUUGCCUAACAAUCUUGCCUUCUCUCCGUUUUCCUGUGACUGAAACAGAAGUUCAAAUGAAAAGCUCUAUUAUGCUAGAAUGGCUUUCUUCUUAGGAUGCAUUGACUCCUUGGAUCCUUACAAGUCGUGGAUGUUCCUCUUAGAAAUAAGGCCAUUCCUACUCCUGUCCAAUACAUGUCCAUGGAAUUGGUCAUCUCCAAACAUCAUCAUCAUUAUCUUCAUCAUAGCUACAAUGAAUUGGCAAUUCCAGGAGAAAGAUGCAAGGCUAAAGCGAACUUUUAUCUAGCAUAGUUUUAUGUAGCAUAACCUGGGCGCUUCGAGGGUAGAGAGGAGCUCACUGUCUGCCUCAGUAACAAAUGGCUGAAUUAAAGGAGGAGGUACUUUAAAAAAAUGUCCCACAUGAUACUUAUACAUCAUUUCCUCUUAAAUCAGCGAUAAUGAAGCAAAUCCAGCUAAUUGAUAGUAGCUGUCUGAGGAAGUAUAGAAAAGGAAUCUGAUGUUUUGUUCAGGCUUAGGAGGAAAAAAAAAAUGCCAGGACUGUUGGGCAGCUUCUGCUAUGAAUAAAGGGGUGGGAGUGGGCAGGCAAGUGGAAACACAGGUACUUACUGUCUGUUAUCCCUGCUUUAAAUGCUGCCCUUGGUGUUCCCUCUAACUGGAUUUACCUAUAAAGGAAUGGCUCACUCUGCCUGGCUGCCAACAGGAGGACUUGAUCUUGAAUGUGCCCAGUACGGAAAUUCUUUCCUUACAGCCUGCAGUGAGAAAUGACCUGUCACAGCAUCUAUCUAUUCAAAUGCGAUAUUGCAGUAAAUGUAGCUAUUUAUCAACCUGCUUUAGCAAUACUGUUUCGGAACUAUAAUUUCAAAAUGCAGUGAGGGCCAGAACUAAGCCUUCUAAAGAACAAGCUUUAAAUUGGCUAUCAGUGAUCUUAUAUAUGUAACCAGUUAUACUGUGACUAGAAAAGACUGAUUGCAUUCAUCCUAAUAGAGAGUCCACGACCCAGUUGAUCCAGAUUGUGGUCAUCUAAAUGAUCCAUUCUGAACACUGUACAAUCGAUCCUAAGUACAGCAGAACCACAAGAUGAAUCCCACGCUAUGGACACUUUUAUUAUUUAUUAUUACUAUAAGUGUAUUCCUACUCCUGUUUUUCCUAUUCCUAAAUAAUGUCCUAUUCCUAAAUACAAAUAAUAAAGAAUAUUUAUUGGUAACACAAAA